rnacentral:rRNA from 1 species
GAUCAAGUGAAAUAAGGGCAAUUGGUGGAUGCCUUGGCAUGCACAGGCGAUGAAGGACGUGAUACGCUGCGAUAAGCCGUGGGGAGCUGCGAAUAAGCUUUGAUCCAUGGAUUUCCGAAUGGGGAAACCCACCUUAAAUGCUUGGGAAAUCGAGCGUGCCGGAAGGCACGCAGGUGAUUAGGAAUUAGUGAGUAGUGAGUAGUUUAAUCGACUAAUCACUAACUGCUACCGACUAUUCACUGCGCGUUUCGACGCGCUCGGUUUCCAAGCAUUGUGAUAAGGUAUCUACACCUGAAUACAUAGGGUGUAAGAAGCGAACCCAGGGAACUGAAACAUCUAAGUACCUGGAGGAAAGGACAUCAACCGAGACUCCGCAAGUAGUGGCGAGCGAACGC